rnacentral:tRNA from 1 species
GCCCCUAUAGCUCAAGGGAUAGAGCGCAAGCCUCCGGAGCUUGAGAUGCAGGUUCGAGUCCUGCUGGGGGUA